UCCGGAAAAUAAUUUUCAAAGUUGCAACUUUCCUUGCCUUCCCAUGAUGCUUCCCGGUGCUCUUUCUGAAGAAUGUUUGCACGCAGGCCCCACACAGAUUUCCCUCUUCGCUUUCUCAAGUGCAAAUGGGUUGAUAAAGAUACAGGGUUUGUCACUGUUGAGGCACCUGGGAGUCAGGUGAAGCGUCUUUCCAGACUGACCUGCAGCUGGGCUCCUCCAAGUCCGUCUCCCAGAAUGGAGAGCGCUCCUGCCGAGCAUUUCCGUGAGUGGUCUGCUGGUCUUCACGUGGAGCGAAACUGCAAGAGGAAAGUGGGAAGAGGCCCGACCACAGCCCUGUGGUGAGCUCAGAGGCCCUGUCUCGGGUGCACCAGCUGUUCUGAUCUGCUUUCCUGUCCAACGAGGGCAGGAGAACCGGACUGCCCUGCAUCCAGGGGAACCCAAUCAGGUGGCUCCCUGAUGAUAGCUGUCCCUUUGGUCCCAUCUGUUUACCAGCUUGUAGAAAUUGUUCAUAUUCUAUACCUAGGGUUGGAUGUGUGUCUUAGUUUGGAAGACUUUUUAAUCUUUCUGUUCUAUCACUGAUCAUUUAAUGAAAAGCAGGAAGAGGCUGCUAGACUGAAAAGCUAUAAUUAAUUUGACUUUUAUGGUGGGAAAAUCCCAUUAAAUGACUUCUUUCCUGAUAUUAACACCUAUGCAGUAAUACAGUGUUCAGCAGCAUUAGGAGUUAAGGCUCUGGACAAGGUUUGAAUUUUGAAUUCAUUUCCUUCUGGAUCUGUUGCCUGACCUUGGCACGGCUCAUUAAUAGUAUCCUUGAGAUCAUGCUAGAAAAGCAUAAACAACUUCAAGUUCUUUUUGUUCUGACUCCAUCUGUAUAUAGUGCCUAAAUACUCAGAAAAAACCAAAACAAAUAAUUAAAAAUUCUUUGGAAACCGUCC
rnacentral:lncRNA from 1 species